GACGAACGCUGGCGGCGUGCCUAAUACAUGCAAGUCGAACGCUUCUUUCCUUCCGAGUGCUUGCACUCGACUGGCAAGAGGAGAGGCGGACGGGAGAGUCACACGUGGGUAACCUACCCCACCGAGAGGGGUAACACUUGGACACAGGUGCUAAUAACGCAAACCAGUUUCUGAGGCAUAGCAUAUGAGUGCACGCCGUUUUAGGGUGCCGUUGCUGGAUGGCCACGGGGUGGAUUAGCUAGUUGGUGAGGUAACGGUCCACCAAGGCUACGAUGCGUAGCUGAUCUGAGAGGGUGAUCGGCCACACUGGGACUGAGACACGGCCCAGACUCCUACGGGAGGCAGCAGUAGGGAAUUUUCGACAAUGGACGAAAGUCUGAUCGAGCAACGCCGCGUGAGUGAAGAAGGUCUUCGGAUCGUAAAACGCUUUUGUUAGGGAAGAACAAGUACGCGAUAAACUGAACGGCUCAUGACGGUAUCUAAAGAGAAAGCAACGGCUAACUACGUG
rnacentral:rRNA from 1 species